CAGGGAGCAGGCGGAGCCAGUUACAGUCAGUCUGCCAAGGAGCAGGUGGAGCCAGUUAUAGUCUGCCUGCCAGGGAGCAGGCGGAGCCUGUUAGUCAUUCUGCCAGGAAGCAGGUGGAGCCAGUUAGACUGUCUGCCAUGGAGCAGGCGGAGCCAAUUGCAGUCAGUCUGCCAGGGAGCAGGCGGAGCCAAUUACAGUCAGUCGGACAGGUAGCAGGCGGAGCCAGUUACAGUCAGUCGGUCAGGUAGCAGGCGGAGCCAGUUACAGUCAGUCGGUCAGGUAGCAGGCGGAGCCAGUUACAAUCAGUCGGUCAGGUAGCAGGCGGAGCCAAUUGCA